rnacentral:rRNA from 1 species
AUUGAACGCUGGCGGCAGGCUUAACACAUGCAAGUCGAGCGGGGAAAGGUAGCUUGCUACCUAACCUAUCGGCGGACGGGUGAGUAAUGCUUAGGAAUCUGCCUAUUAGUGGGGGACAACAUUCCGAAAGGAAUGCUAAUACCGCAUACGCCCUACGGGGGAAAGCAGGGGAUCUUCGGACCUUGCGCUAAUAGAUGAGCCGAAGUCAGAGUAGCUAGUUGGUGGGGUAGAGGCCUACCAAGUGGACGAUCUGGAGCGGGUCUGAGCGGAUGAUCCGCCACACUGGGAGUGGGACACGGCCCAGACUCCUACGGGAGGCAGCAGUGGGGAAUAUUAGACAAUGGGCGAAAGCCUGAUCCAGCCAUGCCGCGUGUGUGAAGAAGGCCUUUUGGUUGUAAAGCACUUUAAGCGAGGAAGAGGCUACUUGGAUUAAUACUCUAGGAUGGUGGACGUUACUCGCAGAAUAAGCACCGGCUAACUCUGUGCCAGCAGCCGCAGUAACAC